UGAAUACAUAGGGUAAGGAGGCGAACCGGGGGAACUGAAACAUCUAAGUACCCCGAGGAAAAGAAAUCAACCGAGAUUCCGAAAGUAGCGGCGAGCGAAAUUGGACUAGCCCUUAAGCUUUACACGCGUUAGACGAACGGUCUGGAAAGUCCGACGAUACAGGGUGAUAGUCCCGUAGUUGACGACGUGUGUUCAGUGAAAUCGAGUAGGGCGGGACACGUGAUAUCCUGUCUGAAUAUGGGGGGACCAUCCUCCAAGGCUAAAUACUACUGACUGACCGAUAGUGAACCAGUACCGUGAGGGAAAGGCGAAAAGAACCCCUGUGAGGGGAGUGAAAUAGAACCUGAAACCGUGUACGUACAAGCAGUAGGAGCAGGCUUUGUCCUGUGACUGCGUACCUUUUGUAUAAUGGGUCAGCGACUUAUAUUCAGUGGCAAGGUUAACCAUCUAGGGGAGCCGUAGGGAAACCGAGUCUUAACUGGGCGUUCAGUCUCUGGAUAUAGACCCGAAACCAGGUGAUCUAGCCAUGGGCAGGUUGAAGGUUGAGUAACAUCAACUGGAGGACCGAACCGACUAAUGUUGAAAAAUUAGCGGAUGACUUGUGGCUAGGGGUGAAAGGCCAAUCAAACCUGGAGAUAGCUGGUUCUCCCCGAAAGCUAUUUAGGUAGCGCCUCGGACGAAUACUACUGGGGGUAGAGCACUGUUAAGGCUAGGGGGUCAUCCCGACUUACCAACCCUUUGCAAACUCCGAAUACCAGUAAGUACUAUCCGGGAGACACACGGCGGGUGCUAACGUCCGUCGUGGAGAGGGAAACAACCCAGACCGCCAGCUAAGGUCCCAAAUUACUACUAAGUGGGAAACGAUGUGGGAAGGCUCAGACAGCCAGGAUGUUGGCUUAGAAGCAGCCAUCAUUUAAAGAAAGCGUAAUAGCUCACUGGUCGAGUCGGCCUGCGCGGAAGAUGUAACGGGGCUAAGUAGUAAACCGAAGCUGCGGCAAUGUGCUUUUGCACAUUGGGUAGGGGAGCGUUCUGUAAGCGGUUGAAGGUGUGUGGUAACGCAUGCUGGACGUAUCAGAAGUGCGAAUGCUGACAUGAGUAACGAUAAAGGGGGUGAAAAACCUCCUCGCCGGAAGACCAAGGGUUCCUGUCCAACGUUAAUCGGGGCAGGGUAAGUCGACCCCUAAGGCGAGGCCGAAAGGCGUAGUCGAUGGGAAACGGGUUAAUAUUCCCGUACUUCUUACAAUUGCGAUGGGGGGACGGAGAAGGCUAGGUGGGCCUGGCGACGGUUGUCCAGGUUCAAGUGCGUAGGCUUAAGAGUUAGGUAAAUCCGGCUCUUUUUAAGGCUGAGACACGACGUCGAGCAUCUACGGAUGUGAAGUCAUUGAUGCCAUGCUUCCAGGAAAAGCCUCUAAGCUUCAGAUUGUAAGGAAUCGUACCCCAAACCGACACAGGUGGUCGGGUAGAGAAUACCAAGGCGCUUGAGAGAACUCGGGUGAAGGAACUAGGCAAAAUGGUACCGUAACUUCGGGAGAAGGUACGCUCUCGACGGUGAAGUCCCUCGCGGAUGGAGCUAUUGAGAGUCGCAGAUACCAGGUGGCUGCAACUGUUUAUUAAAAACACAGCACUGUGCAAAAUCGUAAGAUGACGUAUACGGUGUGACGCCUGCCCGGUGCCGGAAGGUUAAUUGAUGGGGUUAGACUUCGGUCGAAGCUCUUGAUCGAAGCCCCGGUAAACGGCGGCCGUAACUAUAACGGUCCUAAGGUAGCGAAAUUCCUUGUCGGGUAAGUUCCGACCUGCACGAAUGGCGUAAUGAUGGCCACGCUGUCUCCACCCGAGACUCAGUGAAAUUGAAAUCGCUGUGAAGAUGCAGUGUACCCGCGGCUAGACGGAAAGACCCCGUGAACCUUUACUACAGCUUGGCACUGAACAUUGACCCUACAUGUGUAGGAUAGGUGGGAGGCUUUGAAGCACGUACGCCAGUAUGUGUGGAGCCGUCCUUGAAAUACCACCCUUGUAGUGUUGAUGUUCUAACGUCGACCCCUUAUCGGGGUUGCGGACAGUGCCUGGUGGGUAGUUUGACUGGGGCGGUCUCCUCCCAAAGAGUAACGGAGGAGCACGAAGGUGGGCUAAUCACGGUUGGACAUCGUGAGGUUAGUGCAAUGGCAUAAGCCCGCUUGACUGCGAGAAUGACAAUUCGAGCAGGUGCGAAAGCAGGUCAUAGUGAUCCGGUGGUUCUGAAUGGAAGGGCCAUCGCUCAACGGAUAAAAGGUACUCCGGGGAUAACAGGCUGAUACCGCCCAAGAGUUCAUAUCGACGGCGGUGUUUGGCACCUCGAUGUCGGCUCAUCACAUCCUGGGGCUGAAGUCGGUCCCAAGGGUAUGGCUGUUCGCCAUUUAAAGUGGUACGCGAGCUGGGUUUAGAACGUCGUGAGACAGUUCGGUCCCUAUCUGCCGUGGGCGUUGGAAGAUUGAAGGGGGCUGCUCCUAGUACGAGAGGACCGGAGUGGACGAACCUCUGGUGUUCGGGUUGUGUCGCCAGACGCAUUGCCCGGUAGCUAAGUUCGGAAUCGAUAACCGCUGAAAGCAUCUAAGCGGGAAGCGAGCCCUGAGAUGAGUCUUCCCUGAUACUUUAAGUAUCCUAAAGGGUUGUCGGAGACUACGACGUUGAUAGGUCAGGUGUGUAAGUGCUGUGAGGCAUUGAGCUAACUGAUACUAAUUGCCCGUGAGGCUUAACCAUACAACACCUAAGGGGUUU
rnacentral:rRNA from 1 species